UACCGAGGAGCCAAGCGUUGUCCGGAUUGACUGGGCGUAAAGCGCACGCAGGCGGUUUGGCGCGUGGGGUGUGAAAUCUGGCCGCUUAACGGCCAGGCGCCAUCCCAUACGGCCGGACUGGAGCCUUGCAGAGGUCGGUGGAAUUGCCGGUGUAGUGGUGAAAUGCGUAGAGAUCGGCAGGAACACCCAGGGGGAAACCAGCCGACUGGGCAUCUGCUGACGCUGAGGUGCGAGAGCGUGGGGAGCGAACCGG
rnacentral:rRNA from 1 species